GAUGAACGCUGGCGGCGUGCCUAAUACAUGCAAGUCGAGCGAACAGACGAGAAGCUUGCUUCUCUGACGUUAGCGGCGGACGGGUGAGUAACACGUGGAUAACCUACCUAUAAGACUGGGAUAACUUCGGGAAACCGGAGCUAAUACCGGAUAAUAUAUUGAACCGCAUGGUUCAAUAGUGAAAGACGGUUUUGCUGUCACUUAUAGAUGGAUCCGCGCUGCAUUAGCUAGUUGGUAAGGUAACGGCUUACCAAGGCAACGAUGCAUAGCCGACCUGAGAGGGUGAUCGGCCACACUGGAACUGAGACACGGUCCAGACUCCUACGGGAGGCAGCAGUAGGGAAUCUUCCGCAAUGGGCGAAAGCCUGACGGAGCAACGCCGCGUGAGUGAUGAAGGUCUUCGGAUCGUAAAACUCUGUUAUUAGGGAAGAACAAAUGUGUAAGUAACUAUGCACAUCUUGACGGUACCUAAUCAGAAAGCCACGGCUAACUACGUG
rnacentral:rRNA from 1 species